AGAUGUGUAUAGGAGACAGGUGAAUCAUCGAAUCUUUGAACGCACAUUGCGCCCCCUGGUAUUCCGGGGGGCAUGCCUGUUCGAGCGUCAUUUCACCACUCAAGCCUCGCUUGGUAUUGGGCAACGCGGUCCGCCGCGUGCCUCAAAUCGACCGGCUGGGUCUUCUGUCCCCUAAGCGUUGUGGAAACUAUUCGCUAAAGGGUGUUCGGGAGGCUACGCCGUAAAACAACCCCAUUUCUAAGGUUGACCUCGGAUCAGGUAGGGAUACCCGCUGAACUUAAGCAUAUCAAUAAGCGGAGG
rnacentral:misc_RNA from 1 species